GAUAAAUUAGUUGUGCUUAGAUAAAGAGUUGUAGGUUGAUGGAAACUUAAUUAUUGUUUGAGCUAUUUAUGAAGUUUGUAAGGCCCUGGUUUACUAAAACUGGGUGUGCUGAGUAAGGGUUAUUGAAAUGUGUUUAUAUGGUGGCUAGAGUUGAUUUGUACCGUGAGGGGUAUUAUUUAUUUUUUUAAUGGUUGGGCUAGGUGCCUGUACCUUUUGUAUCAUGGUCUUUUUAGAGAUACUUUGUAUAGGUUGAUCCCGAAUAUGGAUGAGCUAUUUUGUGACCGUGGGUUCAAUGUGGCAAAAUUGUCCCUAGAUUAUAAAAUAGGAGUUAAAUGCUUCUCGAAUUCUUUGAUAGCUGGUUAGCCGGGAAGGGCAUUUAGGUGCUGUUAUGAUGUGUAGUGGAAGUGUUAUAUGAGAUGAUGUAGGUCUUUAGGUUAGGCUUUCUUCUUGUAGUAAUUAGUGGUUUCAUGACUUACUUGUUGGGGGACAAGCUCCUGUAAGGUAGUAAGAUUUCUUGGUUGAGGCGCAUGUGAAGUUUGGUGGGCUUGGGGUUGGCCAUCUUUAGAGUUUUUUAAAAAACAUUAAUUGAGUGAGCUUAAGAUUUUUAAGUGGGAUCUACAGAGUAUACUGGCUUUUUGGGUUGUAUUAGUUACUUGAGUGAUUCUUAGGGAAUGAGUACUUGUGUGUUACAGUGGUUUGAGGGGUGCGUAAGUUUUAGAUGUGAAGGGGCGUGGGGUGAUAAUAAGUGUUGGUUAGUUAGUUUGAGUAAUUUGUAAAAAGGAAUUCGGCAAAUGGGCACCUCGCCUGUUUAUUAAAAACAUGGCCCCUUGUGAAGAAAAGAUGGGGGGUCUGGCCUGCCCGGUGACAUGAUGUUAAACGGCCGCGGUAUCCUGACCGUGCGAAGGUAGCGUAAUCAUUUGCUCAUUAAUUGUGGGCUGGUAUGAAUGGCUUGACGAGGGUGCAGCUGUCUCUUUGCAAUUAUAUGGAAAUUAUUUUUUGGGUGAAGAAACCCAAAUGUGGCUGGGGGACGACAAGACCCCAUCGAGCUUUAGUGGAAUUUUGGAAAGCGCAAGCACACUGUGUAAGUUGUGGUGUCUGGAUGAAUCUUUGAUUGGGGCGAUCGAGAAGUAGGAAAAACCUUCUGUUUUGUUUGAUGGCCUGUUAGCGGGAGAUCUGGCAUAUUGUGUAGAUAGGAAGAAUAAGUUACCGUGGGGAUAACAGCGUAAUCUUCUUGGAGAGUUCGUAUUGAGAAGAGGGUUUGCGACCUCGAUGUUGGACUAAGAUUUCCUGAGGGUGCAGAAGCUUUCAAGGGUUAGUCUGUUCGACUAUUAAAAUCUUACAUGAUCUGAGUUAAGACCGGCGUGAGCCAGGUCGGUUUCUAUCUCCAGCCACGGUGUUUGAAGUAUACUUCGGUUAGUACGAAAGGAUUACAUGGGGGUAAAAUAUUUAGGCUAGUGAGAUGUGUUGUUUUAAUGUG
rnacentral:rRNA from 1 species